rnacentral:rRNA from 1 species
AUCUGGGCGGCGAAAUUCAGAAUGACUGGCUGGACUCGUUCCUGUCCGGUCGUUUGAUAUUUUCGUCGCUGUAUCAGACGUCGCGAUCUGUUUGUUGUCGGUCCCUGCUCGGAAGAGUCGCAAUCGAGUUUGUUGUUGGUGCGUUUCGGCGUGCCAUACGGCAAAGAUGCGAAUCUCUGGCUGACAACGGACAGUAAGCAAUGGUGACUGAUGCUGUGUCAUGUACGCAGUGUUGGUACCGAUCUGCGACGAUCUCUUCGGGCCUCUUUCCGACCCGUCUUGAAACACGGACCAAGGAGUCUAACAUGCGCGCGAGUCGCGGGGUAUCGAGCGCACUACGGUGCGUUCGUUCAUUAUGAAACCCGUGCUUGAAGGCGUAAUGAAAGUAAACAGGGAAGAUGGUGUUCCGAGUAUACGUACCGUGAAAUUUCGCGGCCGGACACCCGCAUUCCCGGGGCGUCUCAAUGGCUCAUCGCGAAUGCGGACUGUCGUCUUUCGGGGCGAUAGUCGGUUUGCGAUGGUCCGA